GGAGGAAAGCAGGGGAUCGUAAGACCUUGCGUUAAUGGAGCGGCCGAUAUCUGAUUAGCUUGUUGGUGAGGUAAAGGCUCACCAAGGCGACGAUCAGUAGCUGGUUUGAGAGAACGACCAGCCACACUGGAACUGAGACACGGUCCAGACUCCUACGGGAGGCAGCAGUGGGGAAUUUUGGACAAUGGGGGCAACCCUGAUCCAGCCAUUCCGCGUGAGUGAAGAAGGCCUUCGGGUUGUAAAGCUCUUUCGCAAGGGAAGAAAACUUAUGAUCGAAUAAAUCAUGAGGUUGACGGUACCUUGAUAAGAAGCACCGGCUAACUACGUGCCAGCAGCCGCGGUAAUACGUAGGGUGCGAGCGUUAAUCGGAAUUAUUGGGCGUAAAGGGUGCGCAGGCGGUGCUGUAAGUCAGAUGUGAAAUCCCCGGGCUUAACCUGGGAAUUGCGUUUGAAACUACAAAGCUAG
rnacentral:rRNA from 1 species